rnacentral:rRNA from 1 species
GGAUAAACGCUGGCGGCGUGCCUAACACAUGCAAGUCGAGCGAUUCUCUUCGGAGAAGAGCGGCGGACGGGUGAGUAACGCGUGGGUAACCUGCCCUGUACACACGGAUAACAUACCGAAAGGUAUGCUAAUACGAGAUAAUAUGCUUUUAUCGCAUGGUAGAAGUAUCAAAGCUUUUGCGGUACAGGAUGGACCCGCGUCUGAUUAGCUAGUUGGUAAGGUAACGGCUUACCAAGGCGACGAUCAGUAGCCGACCUGAGAGGGUGAUCGGCCACAUUGGAACUGAGACACGGUCCAAACUCCUACGGGAGGCAGCAGUGGGGAAUAUUGCACAAUGGGCGAAAGCCUGAUGCAGCAACGCCGCGUGAGCGAUGAAGGCCUUCGGGUCGUAAAGCUCUGUCCUCAAGGAAGAUAAUGACGGUACUUGAGGAGGAGGCCCCGGCUAACUACGUGCCAGCAGCCGCGGUAAUACGUAGGGGGCUAGCGUUAUCCGGAAUUACUGGGCGUAAAGGGUGCGUAGGUGGUUUCUUAAGUCAGAGGUGAAAGGCUACGGCUCAACCGUAGUAAGCCUUUGAAACUGGGAAACUUGAGUGCAGGAGAGGAGAGUGGAAUUCCUAGUGUAGCGGUGAAAUGCGUAGAUAUUAGGAGGAACACCAGUUGCGAAGGCGGCUCUCUGGACUGUAACUGACACUGAGGCACGAAAGCGUGGGGAGCAAACAGGAUUAGAUACCCUGGUAGUCCACGCCGUAAGCGAUGAGUACUAGCUGUCGGAGGUUACCCCCUUCGGUGGCGCAGCUAACGCAUUAAGUACUCCGCCU